rnacentral:tRNA from 1 species
GGGAAGGUGGCUCAGUGGUAGAGUGCUUGCCUCGCGUGCACGAGGCCCUGGGUUUGAUUCCUCAGCCCCA